rnacentral:rRNA from 1 species
GACGAACGCUGGCGGCGUGCCUAAUACAUGCAAGUAGAACGCUGGAGGAGGAGCUUGCUCUUCUGGAUGAGUUGCGAACGGGUGAGUAACGCGUAGGUAACCUGCCUGGUAGCGGGGGAUAACUAUUGGAAACGAUAGCUAAUACCGCAUAAGAGUAGAUGUUGCAUGACAUUUGCUUAAAAGGUGCAAUUGCAUCACUACCAGAUGGACCUGCGUUGUAUUAGCUAGUUGGUGGGGUAACGGCUCACCAAGGCGACGAUACAUAGCCGACCUGAGAGGGUGAUCGCCAACCUGGAGAUGGAAACCGGGCCCGAAGUCCAACGGAGGGAGCAGGUGGGGAACUUCGGCAAGGGACGGAAGUCUGACCGAGAAACGCCGCGAGAGGGAAGAAGGUUGUCGGGUCGUAAAGCUCUGUUGUAAGAGAAGAACGAGUGUGAGAGUGGAAAGUUCACACUGUGACGGUAUCUGACCAGAAAGGGACGGCUAACUACGUG